CGCAGAUAUAAAAAGAUUGUAUGUUUUAAAAUAAUCAUUUGAUAUUCGCGCGCUCAAAAUUGAAACCAAAGGUGCAUUCGAUUGUUUUUGUUCGUUGGGUUUAGUUUGAGUGUAUAUAUUCUAAUUAACGCAAGAUGCGACCACCCUCGCAAUUUGGAAAUGAUAUUACAAAUCAAAAUGACGAAGAGCCCGAUCCAAGAAUGAUUUCGAUGAUAAUCUGUACAAGUUUAGCAGGAAGGGCUGUGACUAGGGUUGUCGGAAGGUGUAAUGAUGCAAAGGAAAACAGUAAUCUAGUUCACCUUAAACUACAACACAUAUAAGGAAUAAAGGCCGGCAGUACGCCAAGAAAAUAAGAACAAACACAGUCUAUUUAUGGUCUAAAAGCGUGCGUUCAAGUGAGUUUUAUAUGAACCUUGUGAUUAAUAUUUCCGUGAUCUUUGUGUACAUGCACCUUGAUGUCAAUACAACCCUCAAAUAAAACUGUUAGAAUUAAUGAAACUCAGAAAAUGAAAGUUAUCUUCAACGGGGAUUUAAAGAUCUAUCUCUUGGAAAGUAGGUACACCGAAACGCUUCAUUCAUGUAUUAGGUACUUUCAAUUUCACCCGGAAGCGAGUAUUAUAUUGUAACCAUUCGCAUUAAUUAAACAUUUUAAUUUUUAUGAAUACAUCAUAAUUAAUUAAUAGGUACCUACAUAUUUGUUGUAAUUUGGUACUGCACCGAACUGAAUUUCGGGAUUUGGGCUACCAGCAAUUUAUGAUUCAGAAUAAUUAUUUGUUUAGGUAUUCCAAUACGUAUUUGUAUACAAAGACUUAUCAUUUUAUCUUUGCAUUGUUCGCUUAUCAAACUUUCCCAAUCCAAGAUCCUCCGUCGUAUAGGUACCUAGUUUACUUUUAAAAUUGAUCUAGCUAUCUAGUAGUAGAACAUGCGCACUAUGUCGUCAUUAAAAUAGAAACCACAGUUUAGAUUCGGAUCACAAAAUCAUCCCUUUAGUCUUUUCUAAUCCGUAUGUGAACAAAAAUUGUGAUUCUACAACAAAAUAUGGCUCAUCAGGUUACUCAAGUAAUUCAUCGAUGCGAAACUGCCCAAGAAUCAUUACAGUUAGGUAGAUAUACUAUCACCAAUUCAAAUUACAAAAGUAGCGCGCACGCACCAUUUAAAUUUAGAAAUAUCUGCUACAUCCCAAAAUUGUUAUUUCAAACAAAAAUGUGAUGCGAUAUACGGAAAUACGCACACAUCACGAUGAGCAUUUAGAAAGUGAACAUGGAAAUUUGAAGUAACUAAUUAAAAUGGGAAACAUCUGCCGGAUACUUGAUAAAUUGGUAUGGUUUAUGGUAUUUUUCUUUCAGUAUUUUCUGAAAUUGAACGUUUUAAUUUGUAUUAGUUAUACUCUAAUUACAAUAUUAAUGAAAUGUGAAUAUAAUUAUCAAACGUUAUGUAAUGAUCUUCUAAAUUGAAAGUGAAACUAAAAAUUACAUAUGUACUAAGGUAUAUAAGCGAUAAUUUUUUCUAUUGUUUUAAUUAGUUUCAUUUACCUAUAGGUACGCAAAUCGAGAGCUUCCGGCCGUUAAUUAGCAAUUUACAUCAAAAGAGUAUAAAUUUUAUCAACAUUGAUUGAAAUUAAAUGAUUUCUAAAUUACUACACUUAUAGCUGUUUAGGUAAAUUUACCUAAUCGCAUGGUGAAUAUAUGUAAUGAAAUUUUACUCGUAGAAUGAAAUAGUUAACAUCAGGUUAACAUAACCCAGUUUGUAAAGCCAUGUAGUUAAGCGCCGUUUACACACAUUUUAUAGUACGAUUAAGGUUGUCGUACACUUGUCAAUUCGGUUCCAUCAGGGCGACGGUCGUUGCCGACUGGCAAUUGUUCACGGUAACGCACACUAUUCAGUCGCCCUCGGUAAGAUUUGGCAGUCAUUUCGUGUAGUUUAAUCCUAAAUACAAUGGAAGACAUUAGUUCUGAAGAGUUUUUGAUUUCUUUUUUAAUUUAAACAAAUUUUAAGAAAUGACCACAACACACAUUCCUAAAUACUGAAUCAGGAACCGCAACCACGGUUCUACAGCAAAACAAUUCAAGCAACAAUCUCUUUUCAAAACGUUUUCUCGCAGAUAAAUCGUACGACAAAAUGUUGUGUGUAAACAGCUCUUUACUCGAUAGGAAACCAGUGAUUCACCAUAUUCAUAUACACCAUUCGCGCAUUACACGGUGGGAAUUUAUUUGGAACCCGUUUUGACGUUAAUUAACUUCUUUAGUUUUGUCUUUGAAUAUAAAUUUUAUAUUCAAAGGUUUUGUUCAGAUUUUGGUGGAAUUUUACUCUCUAUUGAUAAAGCAUAUUUACAUUCAAAUUUGGAAAAAACUUAAGGGAGAUUUAAGUAAAAAUCAUUUUGAUAAAGUCUUGCUUAGGUUACCCUGUUAUUGUAGUGUAUUUAGAGUAGAGCAUACCAAUCGACCGAACUGAGAGUAUAAUUAGGUCCAUUACUGUAUGUUAGGUCCGAUUACUGUAUUUUUAGGUCCAUUACUGUAUGUUAUUUAUUCUAGUCAAAUAGUGAAAUGUUUAAAAUACUGUACAUACCAUAUGUAUGCUGAUGACACACAAUUAAUAUAUUCAUUCCCUUUAACUAAUAUUGACAUAGCGAAUACGGAAAUUAAUGCAGAUUUAGAGCAACUUGUAACACUUUCCGAAAACCAUAGCCUAAAGAUAAACACUAAUAAAUGUUCUGUAAUGUUGUUUGGCGCAGGUAAAGCGCAUCAUGAAAAUAUCAACUUAAUUAAGGUAAAAAUAAAGGGCACAGUGCUUCCGAUC